rnacentral:lncRNA from 1 species
UUCCCAGACACUCAGAUCUGGGAGUGGAGAUUAUUUUUCUGUCACUUGGAACCAAAAGAAUUCAGAGUGGUCUCCCCUUGUACCUUCUGUCUGCUGUGUGUUCCAGAUUGGGGCAGAAGAGAGACGUCUUGGCACCUGGGCAACCAGGAGUGGGGGCACCAUGCAUAGUCACAGAGAAGUAUGGAAGAGAUGGUGGGCUUGGACACAGCAGGGUUGAGGUGCUGGCAGGGUGCCCACGUGGAGCUGCUCAGCAGGCUGGCAGGAAGUGUGUGUGCAGGUCUGGAGGGUGCAGAAGCCUCUGACCCAGACACAGGAGGUGGCAGCUGAGUGUGUGGGAGGACAUGAGAUCAUGGAGGGAUGACAAAAAAGAGGACA